rnacentral:rRNA from 1 species
GGUUGCGAUCAUACCAGCACUAAUGCACCGGAUCCCCUCAGAACUCCGCAGUUAAGCGUGCUUGGGCGAGAGUAAUACUAGGAUGGGUGACCUCCUGAGAAGUCCUCGUGUUGCAACCC